GAGGAUAGAGGUUCAUUUGUUUUGUUUGAUGACCUUUCAUCGUGUGGGAUUGCAUGCAGGGUCUUGGGCACACCGUGUGUCUAUUCCUUUGGGGUUUUGCUAUUACGUUUUGGGUAGCAUAUGUUGCCUUUCAUAGGGUCUUCGCGUGGGUCCCUAGUCUGGUUGCUGUGUAAGUGAGUGCAUUUUAAUUAGGGCGUUGUAGGGUUGGAGGACGUUCACAUUUAAGGUAAACAAGGGUACGUUCACAUUUAAGCCAAACUUAAAAAAUUCUCUGAGACAAGUAGGCUUUUAGUUCAGCUACUCUGUCCAUAAAUUUGAAAUUAACUUUGAAUUCUCACUUUAGUAAAUAACCCUGUAAGUGAAUUUCAAAUUUAACCCCUUAAGGACCGAGCCAAUUGUACAAGUUUUGAUCACAAUAAAACAUAAAUAAAUCCUGGAAUUUGCGCUUUAUGUUGUUCAACCAUAAUUCACCUUUUUCAUAUUAAUUGCACCCACGCUUAUUUUAUAUCAUUUUGUUCAGGAGAAACAGGGCGUUUUCGUUUCAUGUCAAAUAUUUAUAUAGGAAACAUAACUGAAUGUGAAAAAAUCUAAAAACAUAUGAGAAAUUAAGGAAUUUUGUUAUUUUUCAAGUUCUGCAUGACAUCUUAACUGUUAAUGUUAUAA